rnacentral:rRNA from 1 species
GCGCAGCAGUCGAGAAUUUUUCACAAUGGGGGAAACCCUGAUGGAGCGACGCCGCGUGGAGGAUGAAGGCCCUCGGGUCGUAAACUCCUGUCAUGCGGGAACAAGAAAGUGAUAGUACCGCAAGAGGAAGAGACGGCUAACUCUGUGCCAGCAGCCGCGGUAAUACAGAGGUCUCAAGCGUUAUUCGGAUUCAUUGGGCGUAAAGGGUGCGUAGGUGGCGAUGUAAGCCUGGUGUGAAAUCUCGGGGCUUAACCCCGAAACUGCAUUGGAUACUGCGUUGCUUGAGGAUUGUAGAGGAGAGUGGAAUUCACGGUGUAGCAGUGAAAUGCGUAGAUAUCGUGAGGAAGACCAGUUGCGAAGGCGACUCCCUGGGCAAUUCCUGACACUGAGGCACGAAGGCCAGGGGAGCAAACGGGAUUAGAUACCCCUGUAGU